rnacentral:lncRNA from 1 species
GUGCAGGGGCUGUGCCUGGGCCGCAAGAGCCGCCCCCCGCAUUCAGGGUUCAGUGGCACUCGGCGCCGAGGAGUGAGGGGGUGUGUUAACCAAGCGAGUGGGUGGGGGCGGGCCUCAGUCCGUGUGGGCCACCGAAGAGCAAGUCGGUGAUGAGGGGGUGGGAUUGAGGUGACCGGUGGGCGCGUGAUGGGCAGCCGAGCAAUAAUAUUGCCUUUUGGGAGGGGGGGCAAA